rnacentral:rRNA from 1 species
CGGCGGACGGGUGAGUAACACGUGGAUAACCUACCUAUAAGACUGGGAUAACUUCGGGAAACCGGAGCUAAUACCGGAUAAUAUAUUGAACCGCAUGGUUCAAUAGUUAAAGACGGUUUUGCUGUCACUUAUAGAUGGAUCCGCGCCGCAUUAGCUAGUUGGUAAGGUAACGGCUUACCAAGGCAACGAUGCGUAGCCGACCUGAGAGGGUGAUCGGCCACACUGGAACUGAGACACGGUCCAGACUCCUACGGGAGGCAGCAGGC